GGGGCUGACUUGGAUUUCGACAGAUUUCUUGUCGCACAGACAGCAUGCCAAGUGCUGCUUGUAAAACAGCAACAAAAAUAACUGUAAACAACACAGAUUACGCUCCAGCUUACGCUAAAGUUGCGUGAGUUAAUCUCCUUUUGGAGCUGGACUGAUUAGAAUUUCUAGCGUUUUAAUCACUCCAUAACCUUAAGCUAGACGCUUUUAAAAGGUGGUUCGCCUUUUAAACUAAGAAACAAGAACUCUUGAAACUACCUCAAGGUUUUAGAAAGUUGGACCAGAGCUAGUUUUAAGGCUAAAAAACCAACCAAUUUUCUAAGCAUUGUAGAAGUUUGUGUUUAGGGCAAGAUUUUUGGACUGGGGUUCGAUUCCCCACAGCUCCACCA
rnacentral:tmRNA from 1 species